GGCACUAUACUUUAAAUAUAAAAGACCCGACUUGCACUCGAAUAAUAGGAAGGCUUCCUUAGUGCCA
rnacentral:tRNA from 1 species